rnacentral:rRNA from 1 species
UACGUAGGGGGCAAGCGUUGUCCGGAAUCAUUGGGCGUAAAGCGCGUGUAGGCGGCCUUGUAAGUCCGUUCUGAAAGCCCGGGGCUCAACCCCGGGAGGCGGAUGGAUACUGCAAGGCUCGAGUCCGGAAGAGGCGAGUGGAAUUCCCGGUGUAGCGGUGAAAUGCGCAGAUAUCGGGAGGAACACCAAUGGCGAAGGCAGCUCGCUAGGACGUGACUGACGCUGAGACGCGAAAGCGUGGGGAGCAAACAGG